AACCGCGCCGGCCCCGUCCAAACUCCAAAGUCCAAACACAACGGAAUAAACUAAACCGCUAUCAUCAAUAAUAAGUGGCCCGAAAGCAACAGCAUCACCAUCAGCCAUCAGGCCGGCCGUGAGUGAGAUGAAAGCGAAGGAAAUAGGAAAAAGGAAGCUGUCCCUGUCGUCGUCGUCGUCUCUGGUCUCUCUCUCACCAGUCAUCAUCACGUAGUACUUAAUCCCACCUCCUGUAAUUAGACAAGCAAUCAGAUCGAGAGGAAGCAAAGAAACCUCCCGUCGUCCGGAUCAUCUGGUUUUUGCUUCAAAGAAACCUCUUCAACCAUCCCGCAUCACCUUAAAAAUCCUCUGAUCAGUCUCCCCUCCCCGCUCGGGCUCGGCCGCUCCACCACCACCACCACCGGUGAAGGAAAAAAGAAAAAAAAAAAAAAAGGCCCACACCCGACGCGAGACCGAGCAGGAGGAGGCGAGGAGCAAGAAGGCGCGGAGCGCGUCCCAUCAAGCAUGCUGGAGCUGCUGCUCCUGGGGUGCAGCAGCGUGGUGGUGCUCCUCCACGGCGCCAGCCUCUUCCUCCGCGCGCUCUUCGCCCCGCGCCACGCCGCCGUCGCUAGGCCCAUCAGCUUUCUCGGGUACGUGGCGUGACCGGUCACGCGCGAACGCGAUGGGCCGGCGGUGGAUCGGGUGCGGUCGUGCGGAGAUCAUCGUUUUCCUUUUCCAGACUUUAAUUAGCUGCCAGCCAAUGGAUUAGAUGGUGCUAGAGCCCCUCAUCGAGGAUCGAGAUCUAUCGUUUGGUGUAGAUAUAUGAAGCUUGCCGGAUGUAUCACUGUGGCUCAUCAUGAAAAUACAAAUAUACAUAUAAAUUGUUAAGGGGGUGUUUGGACUGCUCUGC